rnacentral:rRNA from 3 species
AGAGUUUGAUCCUGGCUCAGGAUGAACGCUGGCGGCGUGCUUAACACAUGCAAGUCGAACGAUGAAGCCCUUCGGGGUGGAUUAGUGGCGAACGGGUGAGUAACACGUGGGCAAUCUGCCCUUCACUCUGGGACAAGCCCUGGAAACGGGGUCUAAUACCGGAUAACACUCUGUCCCGCAUGGGACGGGGUUAAAAGCUCCGGCGGUGAAGGAUGAGCCCGCGGCCUAUCAGCUUGUUGGUGGGGUGAUGGCCUACCAAGGCGACGACGGGUAGCCGGCCUGAGAGGGCGACCGGCCACACUGGGACUGAGACACGGCCCAGACUCCUACGGGAGGCAGCAGUGGGGAAUAUUGCACAAUGGGCGAAAGCCUGAUGCAGCGACGCCGCGUGAGGGAUGACGGCCUUCGGGUUGUAAACCUCUUUCAGCAGGGAAGAAGCGAAAGUGACGGUACCUGCAGAAGAAGCGCCGGCUAACUACGUGCCAGCAGCCGCGGUAAUACGUAGGGCGCAAGCGUUGUCCGGAAUUAUUGGGCGUAAAGAGCUCGUAGGCGGCUUGUUGCGUCGGUUGUGAAAGCCCGGGGCUUAACCCCGGGUCUGCAGUCGAUACGGGCAGGCUAGAGUGUGGUAGGGGAGAUCGGAAUUCCUGGUGUAGCGGUGAAAUGCGCAGAUAUCAGGAGGAACACCGGUGGCGAAGGCGGAUCUCUGGGCCAUUACUGACGCUGAGGAGCGAAAGCGUGGGGAGCGAACAGGAUUAGAUACCCUGGUAGUCCACGCCGUAAACGUUGGGAACUAGGUGUUGGCGACAUUCCACGUCGUCGGUGCCGCAGCUAACGCAUUAAGUUCCCCGCCUGGGGAGUACGGCCGCAAGGCUAAAACUCAAAGGAAUUGACGG